rnacentral:rRNA from 1 species
GUGGGGAAUAUUGGACAAUGGGCGAAAGCCUGAUCCAGCCAUGCCGCGUGUGUGAAGAAGGUCUUCGGAUUGUAAAGCACUUUAAGUUGGGAGGAAGGGCAGUAAGUUAAUACCUUGCUGUUUUGACGUUACCGACAGAAUAAGCACCGGCUAACUUCGUGCCAGCAGCCGCGGUAAUACGAAGGGUGCAAGCGUUAAUCGGAAUUACUGGGCGUAAAGCGCGCGUAGGUGGUUUUGUAAGUUGGAGGUGAAAUCCCCGGGCUCAACCUGGGAAAUGCCACCAAAACUGCAUGACUAGAGUACGGUAGAGGGUAGUGGAAUUUCCUGUGUAGCGGUGAAAUGCGUAGAUAUAGGAAGGAACACCAGUGGCGAAGGCGACUACCUGGACUGAUACUGACACUGAGGUGCGAAAGCGUGGGGAGCAAACAGGAUUAGAUACCCGAGUAGUCC